ensembl:lncRNA
CUCGAGACGGCAGUACGCAUGCGCCAGAGUCGAGACGGCAGUACGCAUGCGCGAGCUGCGGGACGGUAGUACGCAUGCGCGAAAGUGUAGACAGCAGUACGCAUGCGCGAGCCUCGAGACGGCAGUACGCAUGCGCGAAAGUGUAGACGGUAGUACGCAUGCGCGAAAGUGUAGACGGCACUACGCAUGCGCGAGCCUCGAGAUGGCAGUACGCAUGCGCGACACGCGACACGGCAAUACGCAUGUGCGAGCCUCGAGACGGCAGUACGCAUGCGCGAGCCGCGAGAAGGUAGUACGCAUGCGCGACAUUGUAGGCGGCAGUACGCAUGCGCGAGCCGCGAACCGGCAGUACGCCUGCGCGACAUUAUGGACGGCAGUACGCAUGCGCGGGAUGCGAGACGGUAGUACGCAUGCGCGAUAUCAUAGACGGCAGGACGCAAGCGCGAACUUCAAGGCGGCACUACGCAUGCGCGAACUGCGAGACGGUAGUACGCAUGUGCGACACUAAAGACUGCAGUACGCAUGCGCGAACUUCGAGGUGGCACUACGCAUGCGCGACCCGCGAGACGGUAGUACGCAUGCGUGACAUUAAAGACGGCUGUACGCACGCGCCAGCCGCGAGACGGCAGUACGCAUGCGCGAGACGCGAGACGGUAGUACGCAUGCGCGAAAGUGUAGAGGGCAGUACGCCUGCGCGAGGCUCGAGACGUCAGUACGCAUGCGCGAGCCUCGAUAUGGCAGUACGCAUGCGCGAGCCUCGAGAUAACAGUACGCAUGCGCGAGCCUCGAGAUGGCACUACGCAUGCGCGAGACGCGAGACGGCAAUACGCAUGUGCGAGCCUCGAGACGGCAGUACGCAUGCGCCAGAGUCGAGACGGCAGUACGCAUGCGCGAGCUGCGGGACGGUAGUACGCAUGCGCGAAAGUGUAGACAGCAGUACGCAUGCGCGAGCCUCGAGACGGCAGUACGCAUGCGCGAAAGUGUAGACGGUAGUACGCAUGCGCGAAAGUGUAGACGGCACUACGCAUGCGCGAGCCUCGAGAUGGCAGUACGCAUGCGCGAGCCUCGAGACGGCAGUACGCAUGCGCGAGCCUCGAGAUGGCAGUACGCAUGCGCGAGCCGCGAACCGGCUGCCCGCGUGUCAAACCCCCCGAGCAAAAAGGCAACGAACACUCAACACCGCAAGAGAGAAAAGAAGCGCUGAGCCCGAGGACCAGGAAUUGACUGCCCGCCCGGCCCUCGGGGCUUAGGAGGAAUGGAUGCUAAUUUUAAGCUUCACGGCGCAUGCGUAGCACUGCCUGGAGGACUAAGUAUAAUAAAGAUCGAAGGAUGGGCUGCGCAAGACCGGACAAUACAUAAAUGAUUUCCGCGAGUCUGUGGGCAUGCGUUUUGCUGCCUCCGCCUCCUAACAAACACGGCUGCAAUUCCACCGAUUGGCCAUGUGGUGGCACCAGGGAGAGCCGAAACUAAUUCUUCGCAGUUCCCACACUUGGCCACGAGAGGGCACCAGUGACCGUGGAAACCAUGCCGAUGCAGUUCCGCUGACUGGCCAUGAGGGGGCACGAGAUACCACGGGAACAACUCCCCCGACCGGUUUGACCGGUUCGCCAGGGCCUGCGACGGGUAUCCGCUCGUCUCUUUCUUUCGAUAGCAGUGGAAAAAAAAAAACACAGGAGAGGAAAGGGGGGGAGAAAGGGAGACGACUUAAAAAAAAACAAGGAAAACUUCGACUCACCCACCAAACUAGUCCUAAGUGCUUACCAUUACCUGCAAAUAAUUAAAUACAUAACCAGGAAAUUGAUCUUGUCACGUCUUUUUUUUUUUUUUUUUUUUAAAUACAUAUACAUACAUAUAUUUCAGCCAGCAUCUGAUGUGAUGAAAAAACAUGGUCUCAAUCGGACAGAUGCGUGCAGCGAAGCCAAGGGUGCCUUGGAACGAUCAACAGAGCAGUGCAAAACAGCCGUGCAACUCUUAUAAGAAACAUCACAGUAACAGCUUCCAUACCUGGCCUCACCCAUCUUAGAUUCCAUCUGGCUCACCCAAGGCUUGUAAAGAUCCAGGAGAUCAGAUUUGAUAUUGAGCAAUUUGUUGUCAGUUCUUUCAUUCACAACCAGUGCCAGGAUCUGCCGCAGGGCAUUCUGACCAUGGGCAGCACGGCUGAACGGUUUAAAUAACAGCAAGAUUUCCAGGCACAGUUUCAAUGAUUUCAGUCUACUUUUGACCUGAAGGAAGAAUUAAAAUGAAGCACAAGGUAUGCAUAUGUCAUCAUGUGGCAUGCUUCUCAGCAUCACCUCUGGGAAACAGAUAAUGGAUUUGUAAUAAUAAUCUCAGUACAGCAGUAACAUAUGUUAUAUAAGAAUAUACAGGAACAUUUGCAAGGAGGCAAGGAACUUUAUGACCUGUGUCUGGGAAGUUCAGCACCAUCUGCCCACAGACACCUAUUUGGCAACUGUUCUAGAUCAAGCUGUACAUUCUGUUCCAGAGCGCAGCUCAAAACUACAAAGGAAACAAAGGGAGUUCUACGUAGGCAGAAGAAAAAGAAUGGUAGCUUUCUUUCAGUACUGAAAAUAAGCAAGUAAGCAAUCAGUGACAGAAGCCAUUCCUAGAAUACCACUACAGGAAACAUAGCAGCAGAGAAGAAAGAAUCCACAUUUCCCUGAACGACUGCUCCAAGAAAAUAAAUAAAUAAAUUUCUUUUAGACAUUCCCUGUUUGAAGGCAGAUAUCACAUUCACACUUCCAAAACAUUAAAAAAAAAAAAAAAAACCACAACAGUGCAUAGAGUGAUCUCUGCCAAAGUAUGUAUUUGGUCUAGGCAGCAAGUGUCCAAAGCAGCUCUGUGUCAGAAAGAACUGAAGUCAUAAGCACCAAGCUCCAAAGCUCCAGCCAAACCAAGCAAACAUGCCUACGGACUGACAGAAUCCUUAAGUGAGACAGUCAGUAAAAAGUCAAACAAAGCACCUCAUUCUCAGCCUUCUCAGUCCUUUUUGAAAAUCCAGAAGCCUCCUGGUUGGCUCCACUGCUGGCCUGUAAAGCCUGAGCUCGCAGUCUCAUAGAAGUCCAUGUUACUAGACAGCAGAGAAUUUCAAUUGGAUUGAGUUUUAGGAAGCUGCUUUAGGAAGCUGGAAAAAUACGGUUUUGAUGGGUGGACUGUUGAAUGGACAAAGAACUGGCUGCAGGACUGAGUCCAGAGAGCAGCGGUCAAUGGCUCCACACCUGGAUGGCAAUUGAUGAUGAGUGUUGUCCCACAGGGGUCCAUGCUGAGGCUGAUACUCUUCAAUAUCUUCAUCAGUGACAUCAUCAGUGGGGUCGAGUGCACCCUCAGAAAAUUUGCUGACAACACCAAGCUGUGGGGUGACACACCAGAGGGACAGGACGCCAAACAGAGGGACCUAGACAGGCUCAAGCAGCAGGCACAGGUGAACCUCAUCAGGUUCAAAAAAUCCAGGUGCAGUGUCCUGCACGUGGGACAAGAGAACCCCCCACUACCAAUACAUGCUGGGGGAUGAAAAGACUGAGCAUAGGCCUCUCCCAAAAGACCUGGAGGUACUGGUGAAUGGCAAGCUGGACGUGAGCCAGCAAUGUGCCCUCCCAGCCCAGAAAACCAACCAUAUCCUGGUCAGCAUCAAAAGAAGCGUGGUCAGCAGGUGCAGGGAGGUGAUCCUGCCCCUCUGCUCUGUACUGAAGAGGCCUCACCUGGAGUACUCCAUCCAGAUGUAGAGUCCUCAGUGCAGAAGAGACAUGGACCUGUUGGAGCACAGCCAGAGGAUGGCCACAAAAAAAGUGAACUAAGGGAUCGAACACCUCUCCUACAAGGUCAGGCUGAGGGAGCUGGGGCUGUUCAGCCUGCAGAAGUGAAGGCUCUGAGGUGACCUGGUAACAGCCUUUCAAUACCUAAAGAGGAGCUAAAGGAAAGAACAAGGGAACAUUUAGGUUAGACAUAAGGAAAAUAUCUUUUACAGCGAGGGUGGUGAGGCAGUGGAACAGGUUGCCCAGAGUUGUGGUGGAUGCCUUGUCCCCUUCAAGGUGAGGCUGGAUCAGGCCCUGGGCAACCUGAUCUAGCCGUGGAUGUCCUUGUUUGCUGUAGGGAAAUUGGACUAGAUCAUCAUAAAUGGUCCUUUCCAACUCUAAGGAGUUUAUGGUAUGAUACCUGAAGCCAUGAGACAUGAUGACACAAAGGACAUCAAUGGCCUGGUGUGCAACAAGGGCAGGCAGGGAAGCCUGCGUGCUCAGCAGCUCUGGAGAAAAUCACAAAGUACUCCAAACAGGAAGAUCCAGAUCAGCCGUGGAGCCUCUCUGUGUCAGUCUCAGUAUUCAGCAGAUCAGAGGCCCCACUUCAUCACGCUGUUCAGUCCCAUAGCUGCAGAUUUAGUGGGGACGGGGGAUGGAAGGAAAAGGGGCGGGGGGUUGGGGAAUCAUACAGAUUAGGAAGCUAAUAGCAUCCCCAGACAACUGGAAUAGAGAUAUCUGGGGUCAUCCUGACAAAGCAGUCCAGUGGAGGACAAUCCCUUGUCUCCUAUAAAUACAAAGCCAGAUCUGCCAUAAAAACAGGAAGUACCACAGGACCCCAGGGUGGUCGGCCACAGCGUGCUCUGAGAAUUAUGCCCUGGCAUCUGUUACCACUGGCAAAUUUGUAAGGGCGAUAUAGGAGAGAACCAGACAAAACAGGAACAGAAUAUUUGUGUUUAGUAUGGUCGAGCAGUGGAGACUGUAUUGCACCAAGUGAGGAUGAAGAAAAUGGCUACUGGGGCCUGGGGGUUUUCUUAAGCUCAGGUCCCAGCCUGGUAGAUGCACCUCACUCUAUCACUAGCCAUGUAGCUUAUUGGGCUGGAAAAAUAGACCCCACGGAGCAAGGUGAGCCCCUUGUGACCCACAUUUCAUCUUUAAGUGAGCUUCCCACAGCUACCACAAAACCUGCCUGCAUACAAGCCAUGCAAGAACAAGGGGCUCGUGGUGUUCCAUUAUCUGCUCCAAAGAUUUCACAGUGCUUAAACCACUAGCUAGAGGAGCCCCAGAAAUCCUUAAACCCCAUUGAGCUGCAAAAUAGAAUGAGAUCAAAAGGGACGCAUGUAAUUUAAAUACAUGACCUUAAACAAUACUCUGCAUGGGUGGAAUUAAUACACGGCACAGGAGACUCAGAGCAGACAUGGGGAGAGGACACAAAGACAUGAGUGGGGCAUGAGGACACAGAGAGAACACGGAGGGGGACACAGAGAGUACACAUCACAAAAUGGGCUAGGACAACAUGGUGGCAGACAAACCAAGUUUAGAGCCCCAGGUUGGAGAUUGUGAGACGAGAAUCAUGAAAGGGAACAGAGACUUAACAAGAAGGUAUUGAGCUUAAAAAGAAUUGCAAAGAAGAUCCAGAAAACACAGAAUCCCUUUAUGGAAAAGAGCACCAGCUCCAGGCAUUUCUGGAGUUGCAGUGCUCAGUAAGCCAGCCAGCAUUACCUUGGGGCUGAUUGAAGCACUCCAGAAAUGAGAUAAUAACAAAAGAAAGGAAUGUACGUCAGUCUCUCUAUUACCAGGUCAGAGAAAGGGAGAUAACCUCUUCACUUUUCUCAGAGAACAAUUGAAGGGCAUCACAAGGACAGGCAUAGCAGAUAUAGCUGCCCUAAACCAGCUUAGGAUCCCCUCAGAAAGGCAGAGAUCAAAACCCCUGCAAUAAAGAAAGAAUCACUUACUUCUUUCCCAGGACCAGGGCUCACCCAGCAACCUACAGGAAGCAGGCUCCAGAUAGAGACAAUGCCUCUGGGGCUGCCAGCCCUUACAUGAGGUUAGGGAGGGGUGGAGACAGGCUCAGCCCCAUCUGGAAUUCCUUCCACCUGUGCUUGCAGGGCUGGCUACACCCCUCACCAGGUGUUCCAUCACUGCUUCAGGCUGUGAUCUCAAAGUUCCCAUAAAGGCAAAAAAAAAAAAAAAAAAAAGCAAAAAAUUGGCCAGCUGGGUCUGCUUGUCCAAGGCAAGGAGGUUUAUCAAUGGACAAGUUAUGAUGGCCCACAUAUUUUGAUUCCAGUCUGUCCUCAAAGGCAAUUGGUGAAAUUUCUAAUAGACAGGGUAGCACAGAUUUCAAUACUGAUACAUCAAGAUGCUGAGAAGCUGCACGUGCAACAAAAGGGCUGAGAUUCCAGGUGUGAACAGAGUGAGUGCUGUCUGCCAAACUGCCUGGAUCAGCUUAUGGCUCUCCAGUGAGAAACGUGUCAUCUACUCACUUUGCAAUUGAAGACCACUGUGAAAAUAGUGUAGGAUUUAGUGUCCUCAGUGGGUGAACCUGGCACCUGCCUGUAUGGCAGCAUGUAGCCUUUUGACUCAAACAUCGAUCCCAAACCCCAAAGAAAUAGGGAGGCUGCAGAGUGUUUACUUUGUGCAGCCCCUGAGCUCCUCAAAUCAGAGAUCACUGACAUACUGCAGUACCCCAUUUCUGCUGUGGCACGACGUGGGAUUUCUGAAGUCACAACAGAUUUGCAGAAAAUCAUCUCCAGAAUGCACUCCCUGUACAACUUGCCCACAUGCAUGGGGGACAAGCCCCACUGUGGGGACAAUGACCCCCACUUGUUGGGUACUACUCCCACCCCACUGUCACAGCUGCACCCCGAGGACACCAUCACCCCACUGCACAUGGCCAUCAACUUCUCCCUGGACUCCACGCACCCCACAGGCAUCCCUGUCCCCAUUCUCUAGCCCACGGUGACAUCGGCAUGGAGCGAAGUGGGGCGGGGGACAUGGGGGGACUUGAGGGGACAUGUGGACAUCAGGGGAUGUGUGGGGACACAGGGACAUGUGGGGUCAGAACUACAGAGGUGAGAAGAGGUGACACAUGGAGGUGACACAGGGAGGCAGCAGGCCGCAUCAGGAGGUGCUGGUGCCAUUCAAGCAGCACUACGUGACAGAUGAGCACUGCCAGCCCAACCUGGAGGUCAUGGUGACACCCAGUGCCAUGCUGCUGCUGGGCGGCCACAUGGCCAACAUGACCACAGUGCUGACACUGUGCAACCGCGGUGAGGACACACACGGGACCACGGGUACCAUCUGGCACCCCUUGGGGAUGGUAUUCCACAGAGCCAGGGCCACCUCAGUGAGGGCACCUGUCCCUGGGUCCCUACAGUGUCCCCUGUGUUUGUACCCAUGUCCCAGUGUUUCCACAUUGCCCAGUGUUCCCCUAUUGUCCUCAAAGUCCCCCUCCAAAGUCCCCCCCAACAUCCCCAUGAUGUCCCUCUCCAUAUCCCCAUGUCCCGGUGUCCCCCACUCCUCACUUCCCCUAAUGUCCCCACAAGGUCCCCACUGUUCCCCGAUUAGUCCUGCCCCCACAUCCCCACACAGUGCUGGGCUGUCCCUGCAGGUGCCACUGGAGGUGACACACAGCCACUCAUGGGGUGCCAUGCUGCAGCACCCUUCUGCGAUUCUAUGAAUACUGAAUCCUAAACAUCGCUUUCCCAGCUCUUGGGCACCAUUUAAAAGCCAGUUCUGCAGGUGAGGGAGCUGAUGGCACAAAGAAGGUGGGCUCUCUGACCGUUGCAUGCUGGGACCAGCAAAGAUGAAUUCUGGAAGAGGUGCAGGGCAGCCCAGGGAUCCUCCUGACCAGAGCACUUGGUGAGUUUCCCCAGAGCUGCUGAGGGAAAAAAAAAAAAAAACACAGAAGGAGGAGAGGAGGGAGAAGGAGAGACGACGAGGAAAACCAAAGAAAACUGCUUAUGUAUACGUGCUUAUGAAUAUGUGUAAAUAAAUAAAUAAAUAACCAGCAACUUGAUGUUGUCAUGCUUUUUUAAAAAUAUAUAUUUUUUUUCAGCCUGCAUCUGAGGUGAUGAAAAAACAUGGUAUCAAUCGGACAGAUGUGUGCAGUGCAAGGAAGUAGAACAGAUGCCAACAUGCUUCCAGCUUUUUUCCCCUCUUUUUGCUCAAAGAUUUCAAACCACCCUUUUGCUUGCUCAGCCUCGUGGUGUCAAAGAGCUGCUUCUCAUGCUCCUUAGAAAGCCUUUCACAGUGAGAAAUGACCUCCUGCAAAGAACAGAGAGGGACAGAUCCCACGCUUAAAUAUUUCAGAACAAGCAAUACUGAAAAAAGUUGCACCUGAGAGGCCGCUUUUUUGCAUGUGGAGAAGUCAGAAGCCAGGCAUAUCUGGGGCUGACGAAGGGGAAUGUCAUUUGUUAGAGCAGUGAGUUCUCCAUUUUGUCCCCAAAUUCCUGAGUUUCCUGAGAAGCCCAGAAGGACUAAUUGCUUUUAGCAGUGAUUACUAUCAGAGCCGGAAGCACCCUGAAGAUGUUUGAAAAUGCCUUUCUUUCUAAACUGGGCUGUUUUCUAUUUUGCUGCCUCACUGUCUCCACAUCCUCUGUGAAUGAUGGAACUUUUUGCUGCCCGCAUCAGCCCAAGAGUUGGAGCCUCCUUCAGAACUGAACUUUACUGCCACAGUUCAGAUUUCACACUGGGUCAAGCCUAGUGCCACACUGUUCAAGACCAAAGGAAACGGUGACCACAACUUCAGCUUGAACGAAAAAAGGCACCACCGCAUCAGUGAUGCUGUUGUUCUUUUGUGAAAUUAAUCAUCAGCCAAGUGACAGAGGGGGCUUCCAUCAGCCAACAAACACCAAGCGGCCUGAAAAAUUAAGGUGUGCAAGUUCAUGACUAAUGAAACCACAAGUGAACAACAGAACAGUUCUCAAAGCCUUCCACCAUUCAAUCUGCUGUCUUCACUGGGUCAGUGCAGUUUGGUGUGGAGUUUCUUUUCUGCUCUUUUGUUAGUUUUUAAAAUGCUUCAGAUCUUGUCUCUUCUUCUUCUAUAACCCUCCUUCUAGGGAUACAUACUAAGGAAGUGGAACAGAGUACCAGCUUACUGGGAGGAAAACCUGCAAGCUCGGGGGAAUAUUUUCCAGCGAGUCAGAGCAACUGAGACCCAAGGCCAGGAGCUCUUUGUGCUAACUGCCCCUGGCCUCAAUUCAUUCUGUUGGCCUCCCAGCAGUGCAUUUCCUAGCUGUGAACCCAGGAGGCCUUCCGCAAACCCGGGCAGCAUUCGGUUCAUUUGGGUUUGGGCUCUGGACCCACCACUUGGACCCCACCAAGGGAAUCGCCUGCCCCCCAAAUCUGACCCCCCACACACAACCUGCUUCUAUGCUCCUGUGCCCCGGAGAGAGAUCUAAGGCACAAAGAUGCCAUAAGGCACAUUAAUGAGCUCUGGGAAAAACAGAGCAUUCCACACUACUUAAUGACCAUAUACUUGAGUCUACGCAUUGCUCUGACCUAUUUGAGCAACAAGCAGUCAGGCAGCAAGUUGGGUUCCAGGACAUUCCGGAACGCUCAGCUUGCCUGCUGUUGUCACGGAGAGCCAGAAAGCUGUCCUUGCAGUCCUUGUACUGCCUGGGAGCAACACUGCACUGCCACCUGUAUUUAGCAGGCAAUGCAAUACCAAUGGGACUGCCCAACAUGUGCAGGGCAGCACUGCUGUCACACUACCAGAAUUUUAGGGCCACUACAAUGAUCCUUAGCAUUCUGUUAGCACUGAGGUUAGAGUCACCCUUAGGACUGAGAAUACCGUCAGCGUUACUUUUACAGUGACUUCUCUGGGUCAUUUUCAGGGGUUCUUCAGGGUGAUGGCUGGUACAAUUAUUUUCGGGUCAUUAGCCUAUGAUAAACGUUACUUUUAGGGUGAAGAUCGGUUACUUCAACGACUGUUCUUUGGAUUAUGAUCAGGGUUAAGGUUCCUUUUGCUACAAACUUUGAGCAUGAUUUUUAUUGUUACAUUUAGAGUCAGAGAUGAUUUUAGCGUCAGGAUAAGGGUUAGUACUAGAGUUACACUGUGUGUUAAUACAGUUAUCUUUACAGUUCCUAUGUGGCUUGGAGUCCGGGUCAAGGUUUAAUUUAAAGCUACAUCCCAGCCAAUGAGGCCCCCAGCUGAUAUUCGCUUCUAUGCUCUAGGGCCCCAGAAAAAGGCCCUGGGCACAAAGCGAACUAAUGCAAGCCGACUGGAUAACUCUCUCGUGGAGCAGCAGUGCUCAAGGAUUUGAUAUUCACAAAGGAAGCACAACACCUGAGUAACACAGAGGAAGGCAGUGGGAAUAACAGGGCAAAGCAAGGUGGAAACAUGGGGAAAGCAAGGGAAAGGCAGGAGGAAAUGAACACGCAGCCAAGAAGGUGCCCUACCACGUCGUAACGAGCUCCGGAAGCACUACAUUAUGCCACGCGGUGAAAUAGGGAAAGAUUUGCAUACAUGCAUGGUCCUUACCUGCUUGGGCAGUCACCUAAGUUGGGUUCCGGGGCAUUCCUGGAUAUGCAGCUCUCCACUGCUGAGCAGCAUCUGGUCAAGGACCGCCAGGUGAUCGGAGGGUGGUGUUUUUCCCCUAUCAGUCUGACACAGUGCGUUUCCCUGCUCGCUUCCCACUGUUACAGUAUUCCUACCGUCUCUGAACAGAGCCGUCGAGCGGUCCCACGCCUCCCUCCCCACCCCACAUCCUACAUCCCCCGCCAACCGACAGCGCCGCGGCUCUCUGCUGCUCUCCGGCGGUCGCUGUGUGGUACUGCAGGCACUGCCCGCGCGCGUGGUGUAUGGGAGCGCCUCUGACGUGGGCACGCGCCGAACAACAUGGCCGCGCCCUGCGGGAGUGGCUCCUUACCUGCAGCGCGUGGCGAGGUGGCUGGAGCCGUGAGGCACCGCCACGUGAAGGAGCUCGGUGGUCGGGGGUGGGACGGGACGGGACAGACGGAAAAGCCCAUUCAGUAGCUCCUAGGGAAGUUGGCAGGGCACCGCUUGGGGUGACCGCGGAGUCGCUCCGUGCCGGUCCCGGGAGGCUGCAGUGCCGGAGCCGCUCCGCGCCGGUUCUGCAACCGCGAAUCUCCGAGCCGCUCGCGUUCCACGGUGGUCGAGAGUGCUUGCAAACGGAUGAGGGACGUUGCAGGGCGGAGGGGUGGAAGGGGACGCCUGCUAGUCCACCGCGGCGACGAACUAAUUGGAUGCUCGUCCAAAAGCCGUGCGUUCUGUACAUCAUCGAGCGCAUGCGUGUUGCCGACUUGAGGACUUCUCACCAUAAAGAUUGGCGGAUUGGCUGCGCAGAGUGGUCAAAACUCAGAUUCGCCACUUCCGCAUCCAGGCGUCUUGCAGUCGGCGGCAGCAAACAAUAUACGCUGCCACAGUUCCACCGAUUGGCCACGCGGGGGCACCAGAGACGGCGGAAACAACUUCCCUAACCGGAUUGACCGGAUCGCCGGGGACUGCGGCGCGGAUCAGGUUCUCUUUUGAUGGCAGAAGAAAAAAAACACAACUAUGAGAGGAAGGGGGAGAGAAGAGGAGACGACGAAGAAAAACAAGGAAAACUUCGACAAACCCACCAAACCCGUGCUGAGUGCUUAUGAAUAUCUCCAGCAUCUGAGGUGAUGAAAAAACAUGGUAUCAAUCAGACAGAUGCGUGCAGUGAAGCCAAGGAUGGCAUGGGAUGAUUAACAGAGCAACGCAAAACAGCCGUGCAACUCUUAGAAGAAACAUCAUAGUAACAGCUUCCAUACCUGGCCUCGCCACUAUGACAUUCCAUCCGGCCCACUCAAGGCUUGUAAAUAUCCACUGGAUCGGUUUGGAUAUCAAGCGAUUUGACAUAAAUUCUCUCAUUCACAACCAGUGCAGGACCUGACACUUGGCCCUAUUGAAACUCAUACAGUUUACCUUGGCCCAUCAAUCUAGUCUAUUUAGGUCCCUCUGUAUUUCCUUUCUCCCCUCUGGCAUACCAACACUCCCUCCCAGCUUGGUAUCACCUGUAAACUGCAUAUGAGGGUACACUCAAUCCCCUUAUCAAGAACGUUAAUAAAGACGUUAAAUAGAAGCAGCCAAAGGUAGGCAGAGAUCUCCAGCAAGAGAUGCCCUCACCUUCCCCUGCCAACCCUUAAAUGAGGGCUGGGAAGGGGUGGAUCCUGGCUCCACCCCUUCCAGUCACUGAGUGAUACACUGCUUGCACCUGAGCUCCCCUGGGUUGGCCCUGCCUUCUCAUCAGGUGCCCAAUCACUGUUUCAGGCUGUGUCUUAGUAUUUCCACUACACAUACUUCAUAUUGUCCUAUUUCCAAAACACCAGAUAAGAUGCUGACAUGAUAGGUGAACAUUUCUCAGAUGUGCUUUUUCUCUCUGCCGUUCUGCUUGAGUUUAUUGCUCAUAUAUCACAAAGAGAAGUAACAUAUACAAAGAUAUUCUUCAGGAGAAGGAAAUGCCUUUCAAUAAUCUGCAAAAUGAGGAGAAGAUAUCUAAUUAUGUGGCAACUCUUUAUGUUGAAGAAAACUACCCAGUAAGUGUGCACAUGGAGAGCAACUGACAAGUACAAGUUUCAAACAAAAUUAAGGGAUUUCAUGCCUGGAUGUGAGUGACCACUGGAACUUGCUUCUUCAGAAAAAAAAUCAAAUCAGGAGUCAAAUUCCUGACAAACGAGGUAGCCUCAACAGCAAGCCUGAAGCUUCACAAUCAGGUUCUUGUUGGACAGCCACAAAUGCUCUUGGUUGUAUGCCACAGUGACUCCAAACGUUGUGCUCUGGAUUAGCGUUAUGGUAUGAAAAAGAGCCAGGAAGAGAGAACAGAGAUGCUAGAAAUUGGAUGUCACACAGUGGUUUAUGUAUUGUUCUCAAGAGGAACUUAAAAGAUGCCUUUCAGUAAACAGCAACACCACAGUCCUGUACCCCUUCACCAACAGAAUAAAUUUUGUAAAAUAAGACAGAGGUUUUGACAUGCAAAGGUAGGCGUUACGCAGCAAAAUAAGUUUAAAAGCUUGUUAACAGUACUAUUGUGGUGAAACACUAUCUCUUGAAGUUGUAAUAAGGACUGAAAUGGUGGCAGCUUCAUCUUUAGAGAAAAAGAGCAUAUACUCUAUCUGUAUAUCUUGCCAUGAUGACUGUGUCAUCUUGCACAAAUUCAGCCGGUGCAUCCCAUCCUCCCUCUUUGGUCUGCUAGUUGCGAUAACAAUGACAGCCUCAUCUCACCCAGAGUUUCACCCAUUCACUGCCAUUGCCUUCCAAAAGCAGAAACUGCAGCAUGUUGAAAAAAGACAUGUGUCUUCCCAUAUACAAAUGUUACAAUAAGGAAAUACAUUCACAGAGGUGCCUUCCUCCAAGCAAAAGAAGGAAUGCCUGAGACCCCCAGGGGUUCUACAAGUGUAGAACUUUAACUGUUAACUUCUUAUUUCCCCAUUUUUUUUUUAAAGUAAAUACUUUAGUUUACAAGGCAGCCUCAAUUUCCUGUAAUGCAAGAUUCCAACAGGAAGACACCCAUAAUGCAAAAGACUUCUCCCCAGAGGCUUUUUUUUCUCCCUGGUUUCCAUUCUAUGUGCAUUAAUCUUGAAUUUAUUGCACUAAUAGUUAGUUAUUUGAGGUUCACCUGUUGCCAUCUUUCCUCUCUUUACUUCUGCCAACUCUUGCUGCUUUUUCUCCACAUUCUGGAGUGACUGGAGUGAUCAGAUCACUGCUCAAAAACCAGACAGAAUGUUUGGAAAUAUCUGGCAAGUAAUACAGAACAUAGGAGACAAAACUAUAUACUUCAAUUACUCUACAUUCAUCCUGCAUCAGAGAAUGGCAGAGUCGUUUAGGUUAGAAGGGAUCUCUGGAAGUCAUCUGGCCAAACCCCUGCUCAAGCAGGGACACACUGAAUCCUGUGGAUAGUGCAGGCCUCUACUUAUCAGAAACAACAAAGGAGUAUGACACAAGGUAUGGGAAAGGAUGACAGGAGGUACAAACCACUCACUGUACAAAACGGACUCUGCUUUUUCAACCACAAAGAGCACAGAGAAGGGGAAGCCAAGUUCUGCAGCUAUCACAGAACCUUUAUUAUUCUUCACCUUAUGCAACAAGUCUUAAUAGCCAUCAAAUUAAAUUAUGAAGCAGCGAGUUUAAGCACACAGAAGUCUCUACUUCCUGCAGCACCUGGAUAUGCUAAUACUCACUUUUCAGCCAAAUACCAUGAAUGCUGUAACCUUGCCCAACUCCGUAAGUCAUUUGGAUAGAGUUACACAGAGUGCACAAAGACAGGCUCCAGCUCAUGAAAUUUAUUAGCCACAGGUCACAACUGCUGGAAGAAUAUUCCAGGACUACCUCUGACAACAGACCAGAGACUGGAUUUCUUUUGAUCAAUUACUACAGUUUUCUUAGCAAAUUUUGUCAACAUUUGCUCACUUAUUAGCUAUUCCAUUUUAACGCUGACACAUUAAAAAAAAAAAAAAAAAAAAAAGAUCUCUGUAUGUUCAUUUUACGGCACUACAGAUCUCUGGCAUGUUACAGCCACAGCUGCAACUCCUCAGGUGGCCUGGUUUUGUUCACAAAAUGCCCUCAUCCUUGAGAAGAACGUCAGAAUUACAGAAAGCUUCUGCCAUUAAAUUCAAUGACUCAUAGCCGCUUUCCAGUUCACUUGAGUACAUCUGGAGUUUCUUACCUUCUCAAGUUUACACAAUAAUAAGAAUCACAGCCAAGACCUUCAAUCAAUAGAAUCAACCAAAAUGCUACUGUGCUGUAGUUUUUCUUGAACUUUAUGUCAGAAUUCUGACAGUGUAUGAACUGCCAUCAGAAGUGCUAGAACUAAACUCAGUCAUUACAGAGUGUUUGUCUUCCAAUUCACAGCUGCAACCAAAAUUGCUUUAACAGUUGCAUUUCACAACUUUUAUCUCUAGUAGCAUUUCCAGAACACAACAAGGCACAAAGCAACAGGCCACAUAGCGCACGAGGGGAAGGUGGGUUCUUUAGAAUCACCAGAGCUGACUUACAGUCCUUUAUUUCCAAAGGAAAAGUGACUGAAAAAUCUAUUCGUCUAGAAAGAUCCUGAGGCCGAGCAGUGCCAUUAAAGAGCAAAGCAACCACCUAGACAAGGACUGUCCACGUUUCCCCACGUUUCACAGCAGCUUAUGGAAAGGCUCUACAGAAGAAAAACCUGGCUGAACGUGGGCAAUGGCCUCUUCAGCACUCCUCGGGUUAAACUGUACCGUACCUAUUUCUGACGGACGUAUACAAAGCGACACAGCCCCUAUGAAAGAAACUGCAGCGGAACACGGAGCGAGAGAAGGUCAGAGGCCCGCCCUCAGCCGCAGCUCCCCCGGGCUGGGCCGCUCUGUGCGGGCGUCCGAACGGCUCCGGGCCUACCGCUGGGCCCUGGGCGAAGCAGAUGCUGCCCAAACCGAGAGCCGCCCAUGGCCCGUUCAGGGUCCGCUGCACGUGAGGAACCAGCCGAGUCACCCCUGAGGUGAGGGCGGAACCGUGCCGAGGCGGCUGCAGCUCUCAAGCCGGCGGACUCCCGGAAGAUCCGUCGCGUAGUCCCGGGAGGGUGGAAGCAGGAAGUACCAUUUUUGGGCCUCGGAAGUACCAUAAAAGGUGAGGAGGAAAUGCCAAAUAUGGUGGUCCUGGUUCCGGCCGCCGCUGGAGGAGCGUUUCCGUUCGGCCUUGGCGGCCCCGUGCCUGCGUGACGCGGCUCAGCCCGCCGCUGCCGGCGCGCUCCCGACGGUG